CUGCAUCUGUUAUAUUCUCCAAUAGAAAGAAUCUCAGUUCCUUUGGGAACAAAGCUUUCAAAAUUGUUUCUAGUAUGUGAACAAAGCUUUAAGAAUAAUUUCCAUGGGAAAUUUAUUUCCUGAUGGAAACUUUGCUUUUCCAAUGGGAACUAUAGAUUUUCCCAUUGAAACUCUAGCUUUGAAGAUCUUUAAAAGUACAUUUGACCUUUGGAGUGACUUGAUUACAGGCGUCAUAUAAAAUUUGGACCUGCAGUUGUCGAAAGAAUUUUUACGACUUAUAUUAAUAGCAUAAAGUAAGAUUCGUAUUUUCCGGAAUGGCAAAUUUUGUCCCGCAUAGUGAUUUUCAUAUUAAGGUUAUGGGUUUUUCAUGCCUUUUGUUUCAUACACCACUACACCAUCAGAAAACAAUACAACACGUAUAAUUUAUAUUCACGAUACAUUGCAUAUUAAAACUGGCAGAAGUUUAACCCCAUAUUUCUGAAAAGAAUUAAUGUCAGAAGAAUUUG
rnacentral:lncRNA from 1 species